rnacentral:rRNA from 1 species
GAUGAACGCUGGCGGCGUGCCUAAUACAUGCAAGUCGAGCGAACGGACGAGAAGCUUGCUUCUCUGAUGUUAGCGGCGGACGGGUGAGUAACACGUGGAUAACCUACCUAUAAGACUGGGAUAACUUCGGGAAACCGUAGCUAAUACCGGAUAAUAUUUUGAACCGCAUGGUUCAAAAGUGAAAGACGGUCUUGCUGUCACUUAUAGAUGGUUCCGCGCUGCAUUAGCUAGUUGGUAAGGUAACGGCUUACCAAGGCAACGAUGCAUAGCCGACCUGAGAGGGUGAUCGGCCACACUGGAACUGAGACACGGUCCAGACUCCUACGGGAGGCAGCAGUAGGGAAUCUUCCGCAAUGGGCGAAAGCCUGACGGAGCAACGCCGCGUGAGUGAUGAAGGUCUUCGGAUCGUAAAACUCUGUUAUUAGGGAAGAACAUAUGUGUAAGUAACUGUGCACAUCUUGACGGUACCUAAUCAGAAAGCCCCGGCUAACUACGUG